rnacentral:rRNA from 1 species
GCCGACGGCCCACGAAACUCUGUUUUCAUAGCAUUAGACUUCUGAAAAAAAUAACUAAAUCAGUUAAAACUUUCAACAACGGAUCUCUUGGUUCUGGCAUCGAUGAAGAACGCAGCGAAAUGCGAUAAGUAAUGUGAAUUGCAGAAUUCAGUGAAUCAUCGAAUCUUUGAACGCACAUUGCGCCCACCAGUAUUCUGGUGGGCAUGCCUGUUCGAGCGUCAUUUCAACCCUUAAGCCCUAGUCGCUUAGCGUUGGGAGCCUACCGGACCCUGUCCCGUAGCUCCCCAAAGUCAGUGGCGGAGCCGGCUUAACACUCCAGAGGUAGUAGCUUUUACACAUCGCCUGUAGCUUAAGCCCGGCGCCCUGCCGUAAAACACCCCCCAAGUAUAGGUUGACCUCGGAUCAGGUAGGAAUACCCGCUGAACUUAAGCAUAUCAAUAAGCGGAGGAAAAGAAACCAACAGGGAUUGCCCUAGUAACGGCGAGUGAAGCGGCAACAGCUCAAAUUUGAAAUCUGGCCCUCGGGUCCGAGUUGUAAUUUGCAGAGGAUGCUUUUGGCGCGGUGCCUUCCGAGUUCCCUGGAACGGGACGCCUUAGAGGGUGAGAGCCCCGUACGGUUGGACACCAAGCCUCUGUAAAGCUCCUUCGACGAGUCGAGUAGUUUGGGAAUGCUGCUCUAAAUGGGAGGUAAAUUUCUUCUAAAGCUAAAUAUUGGCCAGAGACCGAUAGCGCACAAGUAGAGUGAUCGAAAGAUGAAAAGCACUUUGAAAAGAGGGUUAAACAGCACGUGAAAUUGUUGAAAGGGAAGCGUUUGCGACCAGACCUCUUCCCGGCGGAUCAUCCGGUGGUUUCCACCGGUGCACUUCGCCGGGUCGAGGCCAGCAUCGGUCUCUGCAGGGGGAUAAAAGCCCUGGGAACGUAGCUCCUCCGGGAGUGUUAUAGCCCUUCGCAUAAUACCCUUGCGGGGACCGAGGACCGCGCCUUCGGGCAAGGAUGCUGGCGUAAUGGUCGUCAACGACCCGUCUUGAAACACGGACCAAGGAGUCGAACAUUUGUGCGAGUGUUUGGGUGUCAAACCCUCACGCGUAAUGAAAGUGAACGGAGGUGAGAGCCCUUACGGGCGCAUCAUCGACCGAUCCUGAUGUCUUCGGAUGGAUUUGAGUAAGAGCAUAACUGUUCGGACCCGAAAGAUGGUGAACUAUGCGUGGAUAGGGUGAAGCCAGAGGAAACUCUGGUGGAGGCUCGCAGCGGUUCUGACGUGCAAAUCGAUCGUCAAAUCUGCGCAUGGGGGCGAAAGACUUAUCGAACCAUCUAGUAGCUGGUUACCGCCGAAGUUUCCCUCAGGAUAGCAGUGUUGUUCUUCAGUUUUAUGAGGUAAAGCGAAUGAUUAGGGACUCGGGGGCGCUUUUUUGCCUUCAUCCAUUCUCAAACUUUAAAUAUGUAAGAAGCCCUUGUUACUUAGUUGAACGUGGGCAUUCGAAUGUACCAACACUAGUGGGCCAUUUUUGGUAAGCAGAACUGGCG